rnacentral:rRNA from 1 species
GACGAACGCUGGCGGCGUGCUUAACACAUGCAAGUCGAGCGGAAAGGCCCUUUCGGGGGUACUCGAGCGGCGAACGGGUGAGUAACACGUGAGUAAUCUGCCCUCGGCUUUUGGAUAACCACCGGAAACGGUCGCUAAUACCGGAUACGACCACUCCCGGCAUCGGGUGGUGGUGGAAAGUUUUUUCGGCCCGGGAUGUGCUCGCGGCCUAGCGGCUUGUUGGUGGGGUAAUGGCCUACCAAGGCUUCGACGUGUAGCCGGCCUGAGAGGGUGACCGGCCACACUGGGAGUGAGACACGGCCCAGACUCCUACGGGGGGCAGCAGUGGGGAAUAGUGGACAAUGGGCGGAAGCCUGAUCCAGCAACGCCGCGUGAGGGAUGACGGCCUUCGUGUGGUAAACCUCUUUCAGUACCGACGAAGGGCCGAUGAUGGCGGUGACGGUAGGUACAGAAGAAGCACCGGCCAACUACGUGCCAGCCGCCGCCGUAA